GCUGGGCCGCGGACGCUGGCGCGGGCAGGCAUGGGCUCUGCUCUCGCAGCAGUGGGGCCUCAGGGGUGAUAGGGAGGUGUAUAUGGUCGUCACAGAAUUCGUGCCCCUGAUGCCCAGCGAUCGUAUACAGGCAGCGUGGGCUGUCCGUGUCUUUUUCAGCUCUCAGCUGCCAUCUCGGCACGACAUGUCUCUAAGCUGGGGCAUCAGAGACAUGCUGAAGCUGAUGCUGACCGGUGCGAUCGUGGCCGGAGCGACUCUGGCCGACGCGAAGGUCGGCCGCUCGCCGUAUCAGGACUACGGACGACACCCGUAUUCGUCCGCCUACGACCACACAGGUUGCGACUUUCCGGUGCAAGCUGCAUUCUUUAAAGCACAAGGUGGUCCUGAACCCAGAGCGUCAGGCGGCGUGGCUCAGAUCUUCCGCACGCUGUCCGUGCCCAGGUGGUCCUGAACCCAGAGCGUCAGGCGGCGUGGCUCAGAUCUUCCGCACGUUGUCCGUACCCAGGUGGUCCUGAACCCAGAGCGUCAGGCGGCGUGGCUCAGAUCUUCCGCACGUUGUCCGUGCCCAGGUGGUCCUGAACCCAGAGCGUCAGGCGGCGUGGCUCAGAUCUUCCGCACGUUGUCCGUGCCCAGGUGGUCCUGAACCCAGGGCGUCAGGUGGUGAGCCUCAGAUCUUCCGCGGCAGCACGGUGACGUUGAUCAGUUUCACACGAAAGCUGACCGGGCGGGCGGCGGGGUUGAAGGGCAUCAGGUGACGCCACCGGCAGGACUGAACCGUCGAAAAUAACACUAAAGUCCAUCCAACCGCUUAUUCACCGCCGAGGCCAUCUGUUUCACGUUGACCUUAAGCGGUGUAUGAAUAAGUAGCAUCUCUUUCCCACGUGUCCGAUACCCAUGAUUGCGGCGAAUGAUUGCGGCGAUGAUAUGAUGAAAAUAAAUGGAUCAAAGUACACAUCUA
rnacentral:misc_RNA from 1 species